rnacentral:rRNA from 1 species
AUUGAACGCUGGCGGCAGGCCUAACACAUGCAAGUCGAGCGAGCGGCGGACGGGUGAGUAAUGUAUGGGGACUGCCCGAUCGCGGGGGAUAACUACUGGAAACGGUGGCUAAUACCGCAUACUAUCGGAUAACCCAUAUGGGAUUAGCGAGUAGGUGGGGUAAAGGCUCACCUAGGCGACGAUCCCUAGCUGGUCUGAGAGGAUGAACAGCCACACUGGGACUGAGACACGGCCCAGACUCCUACGGAGGCAGCAGUGGGGAAUAUUGGACAAUGGGCGAAAGCCUGAGGCAGCCAUGCCGCGUGUAUGAAGAAGGCCUUCGGGUUGUAAAGUACUUUCGGCAGAGAGGCGGUACCUGCAGAAGAAGCACCGGCUAACUCCGUGCCAGCAGCCGCGGUAAUAC